CAACUUUCAGCAACGAGAUCUCUUGGCUCUC
rnacentral:rRNA from 1 species